UCACAGGUGUGGUGAUUUGGCUAAUUAUUGACAGCGUUUUUUAAGUGACCGGAUCCCCUUGCAUGAGAGACGAGGAAGUGGGUUUCUAACCUUCCGUUUGAUCUCUGUGGGAGAGAUGAGCAAAGAUGAGACCAUCGUGCGGAGAACCUGGGGAAAAGAAAACUGUUCCUGCAGCUCCAGCCAGAGGGAAAGUACACCGUUACCGAUCGUAACCAGCUGUGCGUGUGUCUGCUGUCUGCCGGACCCUGGUACCUGACGUCAGUCACGGUGUGACCCCGCCCCCUCACGAAUCUGCCUGCGUUUGCUGCUGCGUCCUAGCUGGCUCCUUCUCCCUCCUCUGUGUGGAUCUAUGGAAUUAACUCCCCAGAAGAAAGUUAUUUACACAUUGGUUACACUUCCACCAAGAGCUUUCUUUGAUGUGAAGAAUCAUCCUGCUGAUUUGGAUGUUCAGGAAAAUGGUUGAUCUCCCCACGCUUGGCCUUCUUCAGUGUGUAUGGUCCAGUCUCCAUCGGCCUUCCUUUUGCUGUUGAGGGAAACGUCACUGCAACCUGCCAGUCGCAGUUUUGCUCUGAAGUUGUUGAACUUGUUCCGGAUACUGCCAAGCCAGCCAUCAUAACCGUUGCCAUCAACAUCUGUGAGGCAUGGGUAUUUGGAGAUCAAAGCAACUGCAAUGGAUUCUACUUUGUGAGGCUGAGGGUACGCUUUUAUAUCAAAGGCAGCAUGGGCAAUUUUGUCAAGAAUGUCUUGAAUGUUUGAACUGCACUUUGUGAGACAUGCAAGACAGUUUGCAUAGACAGUAAAAGACUUGCAAGUUUGUUCUCAACUGUUGUACCAUCAAAAUGUUCUACUGCAUAUUCCUCCAACACAUGACUCGAUUAUUGUUGAAUUAAAGUUGAAGCAGCACCAUCAUCAAUACUCCUGCAGUUACAGCAAACGGCUGAAUCACAGUUCUAAAGUCAUUUGUACUAUACUGCUUAUGUUUUCUGCUUUUAUGUAAACUGAAUGUUUUGUAAGCAUUUGUUUUAAAGUCACAACCUAAAAAGG